rnacentral:rRNA from 1 species
GAUCAUGCUCAGGAUGAACGCUGGCGGCGUGCCUAACACAUGCAAGUCGAGCGAAGCAUUUUAAAGGAAGUUUUCGGAUGGAAUUUGAAAUGACUGAGCGGCGGACGGGUGAAGGUAACGCGUGGGUAACCUGCCUCAUACAGGGGGAUAACAGUUAGAAAUGACUGCUAAUACCGCAUAAGCACACAGUACCGCAUGGUACAGUGUGAAAAACUCCGGUGGUAUGAGAUGGACCCGCG